rnacentral:rRNA from 1 species
CAGCACCUCAAGUGGUCAGGAUGAUUAUUGGGCCUAAAGCAUCCGUAGCCGGCUCUGUAAGUUUUCGGUUAAAUCUGUACGCUUAACGUACAGGCUGCCGGGAAUACUGCAAAGCUAGGGAGUGGGAGAGGUAGACGGUACUCGGUAGGAAGGGGUAAAAUCCUUUGAUCUAUUGAUGACCACCUGUGGCGAAGGCGGUCUACCAGAACACGUCCGACGGUGAGGGAUGAAAGCUGGGGGAGCAAACCGGAUUAGAUACCCGAGUAGUCC